AUUGAACGCUGGCGGCAGGCUUAACACAUGCAAGUCGAACGGGUGGCGUGCGGGUGAGUAAUGCUCGGGAAUCUGGCUUGUGGAUGGGGAUACCGACGGGAAACUGUCGCUAAUAACGCCCACCAUGGGAUGAGCCGAAGUGGGAAUAGGUUGUGGGUGGGGUAAUGGCCUACCAAGACGACGAUCCCUAGCUGGUCUGAGAGGAUGACCAGCCACACCGGGACUGAGACACGGCCCAGACUCCUACGGGAGGCAGCAGUGGGGAAUAUUGCACAAUGGGGGCAACCCUGACGCAGCCAGGCCGCGGGAAGGAAGAAGGCCUUCGGGUUGUAAAGUUCUUUCGGCAGCGAGGCGUUAAUCACAGAAGAAGCACCGGCUAACUCCGUGCCAGCAGCCGCGGUAAUAC
rnacentral:rRNA from 1 species